UACAGAGGGGGCAAGCGUUGUUUGGAAUUACUGGGCGUAAAGGGCGCGUAGGCGGCCUGUUAAGUCGAACGUGAAAUCCCCGGGCUCAACCCGGGAACUGCGUCCGAUACUGGCAGGCUUGAAUCCGGGAGAGGGAUGCGGAAUUCCAGGUGUAGCGGUGAAAUGCGUAGAUAUCUGGAGGAACACCGGUGGCGAAGGCGGCAUCCUGGACCGGCAUUGACGCUGAGGAGCGAAAGCCAGGGGAGCAAACGGG
rnacentral:rRNA from 1 species